GAUCAUGGCUCAGGACGAACGCUGGCGGCACGCUUAACACAUGCAAGUCGAACGAGCGAAAGGUGCUUGCACCUCUAGCUAGUGGCGACGGGUGAGUAACACGUGAGCAAUCUGCCUUUCGGUGGGGGAUACCAAUUGGAAACGAUUGUUAAUACCCCAUAACAUAACGAAGCCGCAUGACUUUGUUAUCAAAGAUUUAUUGCCGGAAGAUGAGCUCGCGUCUGAUUAGGUAGUUGGUGAGGUAACGGCUCACCAAGCCGACGAUCAGUAGCCGGACUGAGAGGUUGAACGGCCACAUUGGGACUGAGACACGGCCCAGACUCCUACGGGAGGCAGCAGUGGGGAAUAUUGCACAAUGGGCGAAAGCCCUGAUGCAGCGAUGCCGCGUGAGGGAAGAAGGUUUUAGGAUUGUAAACCUCUGUCUUUGGGGACGAUAAUGACGGUACCCAAGGAGGAAGCUCCGGCUAACUACGUGCCAGCCGCCGC
rnacentral:rRNA from 1 species